CUGAAAUCAAGUGUGACGACCCCCUGAAUUUAAGCAUA
rnacentral:rRNA from 1 species